rnacentral:rRNA from 1 species
UACGUAGGGGGCAAGCGUUGUCCGGAAUCAUUGGGCGUGAAGCGCGUGUAGGCGGCCCGAUAAGUCCGCUGUGAAAGUCCAGGGCUCAACCCUGGAAUGCCGGUGGAUACUGUCGGGCUCGAGUCCGGAAGAGGCGAGUGGAAUUCCUGGUGUAGCGGUGAAAUGCGCAGAUAUCAGGAGGAACACCAAUGGCGAAGGCAGCUCGCUGGGACGGUACUGACGCUGAGACGCGAAAGCGUGGGGAGCAAACAGG